rnacentral:rRNA from 1 species
GACGGGGGUUGCAAGCGUUAUCCGGAAUCACUUGGCGUAAAGCGUCUGUAGGUGGUGAUGCAAGUCACUGGUGCAAAACUCUGGCUCAACCUGAGGAAAGCCAGUGAAACUGCAUGACUAGAGUGUGGGAGAGGUAGAAGGAAUUCCCUGAGUAGCGGUGAAAUGCGUAGAUACAGGGAAGAACACCGGAGGCGAAAGCGUUCUACUGGAACAAAACUGACACUUAGAGACGAAAGCUAGGGGAGCGAAUGGG